ensembl:lncRNA
CACAGAUAACGCAGUACUUCUCUCGUACUUCUCCCUCAGAUACUUCAAACUCUUUGUGUUCUGAAGUUGUUCCUUUGUCAACGGAACAAGGGCAGGUUUGGGAUACCGCACUAGGCGCGUUCUGUGUAUCACUUGUGUUCAAUAUUUACCGUGCAGCGCAGAAUGUUCUUUACCCCUGUCCAGUGAGUUUACAGGUGAUUUGAACGCUAUGAUCAUCUUUCAAUUGCUUUGUUCAAAUGUCAAAUACCAUUUUUAAAUGUGAUCUUUACACCUGUCCAGUGUGCAUUUACAGGUCUUGUUCACGCUCUAACCCAGAGACUUUUGUCUAGAGUCUUGCUCCAGAGACUGGGUGGGCCCAACCCCGGGGGGAUGGUGGCCGGCGCCCAGAAGCGGGUGGGGGGCGCGCCCCUGCCGCUGGCCAAGGCCACCAGGGGGCGCCAUUACUUCCAGCCAGCUCCCUUCCCCAGGGAUAUGGGGGAGAGUGUCAGAGAGGGCUGAGGCUGACCCAGAGAGGGGUGCCCGACCCCCACCAACGACCACCAGAGGGCAUCUCUACAUCCACCCAGCUCCCUGUACUGGUGAGAUGAGGGGAGAGGGCCAGGGAGUGACCCCAGGGAAAGGGGGGAGGGCCGGAGAUGGUGCCCGACCCCCACCAACGACCACCAGAGGGCAUCUCUACAUCCACCCAGCUCCCUAACCCAGGGAAAGGGGGGAGAGGGCCGGAGAGGGUGCCCGACCUUUGCCUGCGCCAUUCCAUCCAGCCAGAGAUCCUAAAAGGGUGAUAGAUCCCCAACCUCCACAGGGGACGAUUUGGAAUGCUACCGUCGUACCUGUACUACGUACAGCCAUUAACCCUAUUUGUUUUCAACGUAGAAUCCACACAUUAGGCUGACAAAUGAUUGAUUUGUGUGUGUGUGUGUGCUCAGUGGGAUGGAGCUGGUUGGCGGCCAUAUUGGAUAAUGUGUACCUUAUGAUUAAAUUAGUAAUAGCUAGGCUUCAUUGUUUAGACUGUUCCUAACUUUAUGUAACAUUUGGUGCACUCAUUAUGAAGGCAUUUUUGCGAAAAUGGAUUUCCCUGUACUGUUUUGCUGGAAAUAAUGAAUUCCUAUGUGAUUUCAUAUAGGGUACACUGUACUGGGAAUGUCUUAAUGUUAAC